GGACCCGUAGCUUAAUUGGAUAGAGCACUUGGUUACGGCCCAAGAGGUUAGGGGUUCGAGUCCCUUCGGGUUCACAA
rnacentral:tRNA from 1 species